UCUGGAGCUGGGAGGGAGAAGGUCAUUUACCAGUUCCGGGAAGGGGCACUCCAGCUUUCACAGAAUCCACCAAAAAAAAAAGCAAUAUCAGGGUGGAUUUAAGAACAACAACAACAGAUCCUCAGAAGAAGAGAGACCUGAAUUCAAGACCUCUGUCUAACAUCUCCUGUCUAUGUGACCUUCUGUCCCAUGCAGGGAAGCAUCCCUACCUGGCUAUGGGUGCAAGAGUUUAUGGAAAAGCAUGGACAAGAAUCAGACAGAAUGAGAAGGCAUGAAUGGGCCACAAACUUCAUUAAUGGAAGAAGAAAAAUAGAAUAUGCUGAUGACCCUGCAGACUUAUGGAAGCAAUAAGUUCCGGAUAUCUGAGAUCUUCUUUCAAGGGGAGACAACAGGCAAGUAUGUAUCCUGAAAAGGAGAAGGCACCCUGGACAAACUUCACACACGGACAAAUGGAAAGAUCUUUGAAUCAAAGACAUUAUGGGAAAUGAACUUCAGGAAAAUGGGUCAUGUAAGAUUAGUUGCCGAUCAUAUUAACUUCACAUAUAGGAAAGUACAUCCACAAAUACAUUGGAAUAAAUAUGCAUCCACCAUGACAUAUCUAGAACACGAACAAAUUUCACAUUGACAUUAGGGGCUGUGCCGUAAAUAAGGACAACCCAUAAAUUGUAUGUCUGUCAAUAAAUCUCUGCAUCCAGAAGAUAUAUAUGUAUAUAUUUACAUAAAUAACAUGUGAAAUAUGUGAAUGUGUAAAAAUAGCAGACAUGUGUACAUAUAUAUAGCCUAAAAUAAUGAUCUAAUCCAGUAAUAUAGAUAGAAAGGAGAGUUAAAAUACUAACUGGCUUUUUUUUUUAAACCCUUACCUUCCGUCUUGGAGUCAAUACUGUGUAUUGGCUCCAAGGCAGAAGAGUGGUAAGGGCUAGGCAAUGGGGCUCAAGUGACUUGCCCAGGGUCACAGCUAGGAAGUGGCUGAGGCCAGAUUUGUACCUAGGACCUCCCAUCUCUAGACCUGGCUCUCAAUCCACUGAGCCACCCAGCUACCCCCAAAAUACUAACUGUUAAUAAACAGGGACAGAGUAGUUUAGGGUGGAAAAGGGAAUAUUGUAACUAGAGAGGUAACAGGAUAAAUCAGAUUUCAUUUGAUACAAGUUAUAUAUAUAUAUAUAUACACCUAUAAAUGUUAUGAAUUGUUACAUUGGAAUUAGCAUUAUAUAAGGCAUAGGAUAGUUCAAUUUUACUUAAGAUUUAAAUUUUAUAUUGAUUGCAAUAGAAAUGACUUUGUAUUAGGAAAUUGUUAUGUUGUGAAAAUUUUUGUUGGUCCAUAAUCCUAACCCUCUUCCCACAACUCAGUCUCAGCAUAAGAUAGGAAUUUAGAUUAGCAAAUAGACAGAUUAGGAUAAGAUUUAUUACUUUGGGAGGGGAGAGGUUAGAUGAGAACAAUAAGUAGUAUAGAUAAAUUAGAAUAGACAUAGAAGUUAAGUAACUGGCAUGUGCCAAGGUGGCACCAUGUGAACAACAGGAAAUGGAGGACUUUUGACAGAGGUUGGCACUAGAGAAAAAGUGCCAAGCUGAAGAGUAUGUGAAAUUGAUCACCUAGACAGGGGUGGGGCCCCAGGAGUGAAUUUCCAGAGGAGAGAAGACUCUGGCUGGGAGACCAGUGAGGGUCUCUCCAUCAAGAAGGUGGAUAAAGACUUUCUCCUGAGGGUUACCCAUUUUUUCCUGCUGGUGACUGGAAAUCUUUGCCCCCAACACUUCCCAAUUGAAGGGACUUUCUGAAGAGAAACCUGAGCAGACUUUACCUCAGCUCCUGUUGCCCAGGGAGUUAUUCAAGCCCAAUGGCAAGACAAAAGUCAAGAUGACUGCUGAUGAUGCAGUGGAUGACCUUGGCAUCUUCGAUGUCUGACACGCCUGCUUCAGCUACCUUCAGAGCCAGUCGCUGGAACAAAUUAUUCUCAUCUACCCAUUCUGCUGGGGAAAGUUUGAGAUUAGACAGCCCUCUAACUCAACAAUAGCUCUGAGGUCCAUCAGUUCCCCUCAACCUAGUUUAGCCAGUCUGCUAAGAUGGAUUUACUAAGCUGUGGUUUCUGCCUAUGCUCCAGCAUCUUGGAGUCACAGGUGAGAGUUGGGUGAAAUGUGGACUUCAAAAGAAAAUGAGCAUCCCUGAAAAUGUCCCAGCAAGCCCUCACACCGGAGGUAUUGGUCCUCUCUUGUGACAAGGAAAUCACUUUAAAAGACUGAUAUAUAUUAAUUUAAGGUCGCCAAGGAAUUCAGCUAUGUAAUUCCUAAAUGAAAACUCAAGUCAGCAGUCAACCUUUUAUGGAGUUUUUAAUUACAAACAGGAGGAAGAAAGGUAUUAGAGAAAGGUAUGAGAGAGAGAGAGAGAGAGAGAGAGAGAGAGAGAGAGAGAGAGAGAGAGAGAGAGAGAGAGAGAAAGGGGAGAGAAGGGAAUAGGGCUUAAAUACCCGCUCUGGUUUGGCUGGGCCAAAAGGCCCAAGCCCUUAGAUAGCUGAGGCAAAGAAAAAAGAUCAUCAGUCCCUAUCACUCACGUGACCAAAAUGGAGAAACAGUCUCAGCGGCCUCCACCUCCAGCCUCCUUCAGAGCCAAAACUUCCCAGAGCACAACCUCUCAGAGCAAAACCUCUCGACCUCUCCAGUCCUCAGACCCCUCUCUCUUUAAGGAACCCAUCUAAGUUUCCUCCCCUCAGUUCUCACAUCUACCAAUCACUGUCCAUGUCUUCCCUGUGCCAAUGGUGGCUCUAGCUUAACCCAGGACUGCCCAGAGGUCUGCCCCUUUGCACAUGUCUGUUGAAGGUCAUAUUCUCAAAUAAUUAAAUCUUGAUCCUUGCUGCAGCCCUUCCUAAAUCCUUUUACUCUGUGUAGGGUGGAGAUUGUAGUUUUAAGACCUGGUUCUGUCAUUCCAAGUAUCUCUAUUGUAUCAAUUCUAAAAUCAAUCAUGACUCAAAGAACUUCCUGUUCUAUGCUUAAGCAUAGGUCAAAGCCCUUUCCAUUGUUUAGCAAAAGGUUUCUUUCCUAAAGUAGUCUUAGGUAGGGAGGAGAAAGAUCCUCCCAUGCCAAGGGGGUUCACAUUCCAAUAGAGUUCUUACUAUCAGUAGGAAAUUCUUUCCAAGUAUGAAAUUUCCCAAUGGUGAAAUUUCCAACAUUCAUAAGUCUAAGAAAUUUUAAGGUUUACACUCUGGGCAGCUAAGUGGCACCAUAGUGCACAGAAUACUGGUCCUCAUGCCAGUUAGUCCAGAGGUGCCUGUAUGUACCUGUACACUCACACUCAUGCCCUCAGGCAGCUAGGUGGCACAGCACAAGCUGAACUUGAAAUCAGAAAGUCCUGAGAGUUCAAAUCUUGCCUCAGGCACUAACUGCUGUGUGUUCCCAGGGAAAAAAUCACUUAACUAACCCUGUUUGCCUCUCUUUCCUCAUUUGUCAAAUGAGCUGGAGGAGGAAAUGACAAACCACUCCAGGAUCUUUGCCAAGAAAACCCCAAAUGUGUUCACAAGGAAUCAGACAGGACUGAAAGAACACCACAACAACGAACCCUGGCCGAGUUAAUGAGUCGCCAUAUGCCUUGAUUUCCUUAUCUGUAAAAUGGAAAUAAUAAUAGCACAUACAAAAUGGAUAAUACUUAUAAGUCAUUUAACAAAAUACAUUGAGCAUUUCUGAAAAUAUUUUCCUUAUUCUGUAUCCAUGGUCUAACCAGUCAUUCCUGAAAACAAACAAACAAACAAAAAAAAAAACAGAAGUAUAACUGACCAUUAGUCAACUGAAGUUAUAAUUGGUCACAGUAACUUCUAGAGUUUGGAAGUCUUUCAUUAAUUAAAUUUUCUUCAGGGGGGUUCCUGAGGUCUUUUAUCUUAGAUCAGGCUUUCACAGCCACUUGUGAUAUAAUCCAGUGCAGCGGAGUUAGAACAGGCAUUGACCUUUGGGGCAUAUACCUGAUACCAUUCAUUCAAAAAGAACAUGAUGCCCAUACACUGGUUUUCUUCCUCAGGCAAUGGAGAGUUUCCAAAGGCAAAUGUUUCUGGAUCUUUACCUUUCAGCACACCAAUGGCCCCCAGCCAACAAGGCUUUAGGUCUUCCUGAGGCUUCUUUUCAAGUCACCAAUCAUUAGGGUGUUCAGGAACUGAGCCUCAGAGGGUCCCUAUUUUAAAACUCUAGAGGUGGUCAUAAUCCAUGAUGAAACCCAGGGAAAUGGGUCUGAGCCUAUACAUGGGAGAGGAGAAGAGGAAAGGAAUAAGCAUUUCUAUGGCACCUACUAUGUGCCAGGCGCUGUA